rnacentral:rRNA from 3 species
UACGUAGGGGGCAAGCGUUGUCCGGAUUUAUUGGGCGUAAAGAGCGUGUAGGCGGCCAUACAGGUCAGCUGUGAAAACUCGAGGCUCAACCUCGAGACGUCGGUUGAAACCGUAUGGCUAGAGUCCGGAAGAGGAGAGUGGAAUUCCCGGUGUAGCGGUGAAAUGCGCAGAUAUCGGGAAGAACACCUAUGGCGAAGGCAGCUCUCUGGGACGGUACUGACGCUGAGACGCGAAAGCGUGGGGAGCAAACAGG